rnacentral:lncRNA from 1 species
CACUUUAUUAAUAUAGUGCAUGAAUUGUCUCUCAUAGUUCUUGAGCGUACCUGGCAGGUGGUUUUUGCUUAGAUUUCUCAUGGGUGGAUAUAGUCAGAUGGUGUCUCAGGCUACAGUCAUCUGAAGACUCAACUGGUUUUGAUAUCUAAGCACACUCACCUGGGUUGCAUUUAUUUUUGGCUUUUUGCUUAGAGCUCAGCUGAGGCUGCACCUGAAGUGUCUACACGUGGCCUCUCCAUGUGGCUUGGACUCCUUAAAGCAUGGCAGCAGGCCCCUAAGAGGGAGCAUCUGAAGAGAAAAUUGCAAGACGUUUUGUGAUAUGGCCACAGAAACUCCAGACUUCAGCUGGUUAAAACAAAUGCACUGAGCCCAGCCCAAAUUCAAGGUGAGGGAAAUUGGGUGACUCCUCUUGAUGUGAAGAAUAGCAUGUACACACAGGAUUGAGGGUUGUCAUCUAUGACUGUUUGCCAGUUCCUACUCUCUGAUGCCUUGAAAUCUAUCAAUACCAAUGCCCUAAACAAGAGAGCCUAGUAGAGUGGUGUGCCAGGUAGGUGAGAGGUAAAUAGACGCCUAGAGGCAGGGAGACCUGGCUUUGAAUCCGGGUGUUUCCAGCUACCAGCUGUGGAUCUUGGGCAAGUUGUUUAAUCUGUGUGAGCCUCAGUUGGCUCAUUUGUAAAGGAAUGAUAAUAUAUGCAUCUCCAUGUAUGGUUGUGGGAUUUGAAUGUUGCCCAGCAUAGAGUAAGCAUUCAGUGAUUGUUUGCUGUUAGAAAUAAAGGUGAAAAGAGGCUGUGCUUUGCUUCUCUAGCACACCUUGUUUACUCUGAUCCAGCAUCAAGGUGAACUCAGCUGUACAGCACCACUAACGUUCAGGUCUCCCCAGCAAGAAGAACAUGGAGUCGAGAAACUGCAGUCGGUUAAGAACAUAAGGACCACCAUCAGGGAGUUCAUAGGGAUGCUUCCUAAAAGCACAAGCUGGAAUCAAGAUUUCUAGGAGAAACAUCAAUAACCUCAGCUAUGCAGAUGACACCACCCUUAUGGCAGAAAGUGAAGAACUAAAGAGCCUCUUGAUGAAAGUGAAAGAGGAGAAUGAACAAGUUGGCUUAUAACUCAGCAUUCAGAAAACUAAGUUCAUGGCAUCUGGUCC